rnacentral:rRNA from 1 species
GAUGAACGCUGGCGGCGGGCCUAAUACAUGCGAGUCGAGCGAACAGAUGAUGAGCUUUCUCCUCUAACGGUAGCGGCGGGCGGGUGAGUGAGACGUGGAUAACCUACCUAUAAGACGGGGAGAAUUUCGGGGAACCAGAGCUAAUACCAGAGAAUAUAUUCAACCGCAGAGAGCAAUGGAGAAUGGCGGUUUGGGCGUCACUUAUAGCUGAUUCCGGGCCGGAUUAGCUAGUUGGUAAGGGAACGGCCUACCAAGGCAACGAAGCGUGGCCGACCUGAGAGGGUGAUCGGCCACACUGGAACUGAGACACGGUCCAGACUCCUACGGGAGGCAGCAGUGGGGAAUAUUGCGCAAUGGGCGCAAGCCUGACCCAGCCACGCCGCGUGAGUGAUGAAGGCCUUCGGGUCGUAAAGCCCUUUUAUUAGGAAAGAACAACUGUGUAUGUAACCCUGGACGUCCUGACGGUACCUAAUCAGAAAGCACCGGCUAACUACGUG